CGACUCAACCACGUUAGUCACGCGAUUCGUUAUCCCAAAAUUUACACUGCUGCUCUGUCUGCUCUCUCCUCGCCCCUGCCAUGGCCGCCGCCGCCGUCGCGGCCCACUUCUUUCCUAUUCCUCCCUCCCCUCCCUUCCUCCUUACCCAUAUACGAAACCCGACCCGUCGGCCUCCGUUCCCCGCCAACGCCUCGCAGACUGAGCGCGGCGUCGAGUUCGAGACCGGCGAUUCCUUCUUCCGCAGCGAGAGCGCCGUGGGCCGCGACCUUGGCGUCCUCUCCGCCGCCCUUCACCGCCAGUCCCUCUGCAGCGGUAGUGGCCUCCGUGUCAUCGAUGCAAUGUGCGGCUGCGGCAUCCGCUCUCUCCGUUACCUGGCCCAGGCCGGCGCCGACUUCGUCUGGGCCAACGACGCCUCCGAGGACUGCCGGCCCCUCAUCCUCUCCAAUCUAUCCCGCCACCCCCGCGUGUCUCCCGGCGGCGGCCGCUGCUGGGUCGUCAGCCACCUCGACGCCAACAGGGUCCUGGCCGAGAACUACCUCCGCAGGGAGUUCUUCGAUUUCGUGGACGUUGAUUCCUUCGGGAGCGACUCCUCGUUCAUGGGGAUGGCUCUUGCCACUGUCAGGAAGGGAGGAUUGCUGUACAUCACCUCCACCGAUGGGCAUUCCUCGGGAGGGCAUCGACCUCACUGGUGGCGUCUUACGGGAAGCAGCUGUUAUAGGUUAUCACAUAUCACCACUUUUCUCUUAUUAUUCAUAUCAUGGACCUGUAUUCCGAGUAAUGUUACGUGUGGAUCGUGGACAACUUCAAGAUAAUAGCCAAUAUGGUUUCAUAAGUUAUUGCCACAAUUGUGGAAACUCUCAAACUUUUUCUUGGGGAGAACUUGGACAAAUUUCCUGCACCUGUAGAAGUGGCCAGGUAUUUUCAGACAUGUUGGCUAUCAGGCUUGUUUGUCAGUCAGGUUAGUGUAUAAUUAUUUUCCAUUUUUUAUUACAGACAUUUAAUCUUGCAUGGAGGCUUCUGCUUGCUUGACAUUAUUUUGCAGUGUAUUAAGAAGAAAGCCUCUAUGGAUGCUUGAUCUCUUUCUUUGCUGUGCUUAAGAAAUUAAUCUCAUGUCGCUUUCGUUUCUCGAUACGGUAUCCAAAUCUCUUGUUGUCUCGGGCCCUCUUUGGAUCGGUUGUCUCCAUGAUGCAGCAUUUGUCACUGAAAUGCUACACUUAGCUACAGAGUGGGGGUGGGCAUGCACUGCACAAAAGGAGAUCGACCUAGAGAAACUUUUAAACCAAAUGAUAGAGGAAGGGGAUCCGCGACUUCCACCUGGAUACAUCAAAGUUGAUGAGAUAGGAAGACGAGGCAAAAUGAAUUCUCCUCCUGUUAUGACUUUGAUUAACAUCCUUCGAAAGGAAGGUUAUGCUGCUUCCAGAUCCCAUAUCGCACCUAAUGGAAUCAAGACGAAUUGUCCGAUCGCCAAAUGCAUUCAGUUUGCUCAUGGACUUGGGGCAGCAUGAGCACUUGGAAAUCGGAAGCAUCGUUGCAUUGCUAAACUAAGUGCUCACUAGCUGAUGUUCCAUGAGUUUGAUACUGGAGCUUCAUCCUCCGUCCACCGCAAAAUCAACUUUCUUGAUAUGAGAUUAACUAGUAGGAGAUAUCACGAAUCUUGUAUCGCAGUUAUGCUCUCAUUUGUUGCUUUAGGAUGGCUCUUCCAAAAGAUGAUCAGUAGGAAGGUUGUGCCUGCAUAUCUAUAAUUGCCUUCAAGAUGAGGUGGUGAGAGUUCAAAAGCUGCACUAAUUGCUCGAAGGUAUAUGCUUUUCUUGUCAUAUGUUACUAAACCUUUACGUCCCACAUAUUUUGGCGAUAACCAUGAAAUGCAAUGUGAUGUUGAACUCGUGAGUAAUUAUUUCGACUUGAAUUCAAAUUAUUUUAGAAUUGCUGCGGAAACUGUGAAUCCAUUUCUCCUUGAGUCGAUAAAUUGUAGGACUAGCAAUGAAACUAAAAAUUUUAUAAAUACUAACACGGAACAAUCCCCACACGGUAAGCCCAUUAGACACAGAGAUAUAGCGUGCAUUAGCAUUUGCCCAUAUUAGAGGGU